UCUACAUGAAGUGUACCCCGAUCUGUAUUUGUUGUUCAGUUUAAUUUCUGAAGAACACAAUUUACAUAAAUGUGUCUAUGUUUUGUUUUGAAGGAUGACUCUUUUCUUCUCUUUCUCUACCUCUGUCUGUGUGUGACAAUGUUCUUUUCAGACAAUGAAGUGGACGGGGAAACAGUAGAGUAUGGCCUGACGGAUAAUAUGGUAUCAUGCCUUUUUCCUGGAUCAUUCAAAAAACAAGUCAAGUUCAACAAAUUUAUACAGGAGUUAAAGGAUGUUGUAACACUGACUGUAGAACCAGUGCCUGAAGAAUGCAUUGAGCAGCCUUCGACUAUAGAAAGUGAGACAAAUCGGAGACUGCCUGCUGGUUUCAUCAUUCCACCUUUCCCCAGAGAUCUUCAGACCAGACUCGACAACAAAGAAGCAUGUUUGAAGUUAUCUAGAGAUCGACAUAGGAUCAUUCGAGUUCCCAUGAAGCAAUCAUCGAAUACACAAUGUAAGUCAAUGUAUGUAUUGUCCAUUGCUACUCAUGGCCAAGUUAGAACAUUUU
rnacentral:lncRNA from 1 species